rnacentral:rRNA from 1 species
GGCGAGUGAAGCGGCAAAAGCUCAAAUUUGAAAUCUGGUACCUUCGGUGCCCGAGUUGUAAUUUGGAGAGGGCAACUUUGGGGCCGUUCCUUGUCUAUGUUCCUUGGAACAGGACGUCAUAGAGGGUGAGAAUCCCGUGUGGCGAGGAGUGCGGUUCUUUGUAAAGUGCCUUCGAAGAGUCGAGUUGUUUGGGAAUGCAGCUCUAAGUGGGUGGUAAAUUCCAUCUAAAGCUAAAUAUUGGCGAGAGACCGAUAGCGAACAAGUACAGUGAUGGAAAGAUGAAAAGAACUUUGAAAAGAGAGUGAAAAAGUACGUGAAAUUGUUGAAAGGGAAGGGCAUUUGAUCAGACAUGGUGUUUUGUGCCCUCUGCUCCUUGUGGGUAGGGGAAUCUCGCAUUUCACUGGGCCAGCAUCAGUUUUGGUGGCAGGAUAAAUCCAUAGGAAUGUAGCUUGGCUCGGUAAGUAUUAUAGCCUGUGGGAAUACUGCCAGCUGGGACUGAGGACUGCGACGUAAGUCAAGGAUGCUGGCAUAAUGGUUAUAUGCCGCCCGU